GGUGACGACAAGCACACCGAAAGCGACCCAGAAAACAAGACGCCAUUCGAGCAGCGAGGCCUGAAAGGAUAAAAACAAUAAAUGGCAACACGCUUUCAUCAAUGAGCUCCUGUAAUUUUUCCAUCAUCAUCCGUGCUCACCACGCUUCCACUGGAUGUUAUGAAACUUACAAAACUUUAUUGCAUACAACUUAACUUCAAAUUACAGGAUCCGGCCACCUUAAACCAUAUACUUGCUAUGUAUUACAUUGUGGUGGAGGAAACCAAACGAUCGCCAACAAUUUGCUCUCCGGUUUGACAGAUCGACUGAAAAAAUAUUUCACAACAAUAAUGCGAUGACGACGUUGAGAGAGAAAAAUCGCAUGAUGGAAUUUUGGGAAUCUGAAAACUUCAAAGAAUUGUUGCAUGAUAUGCCAUUUAUACCAGGCCAACAUGGUCAGCAGCAGCGAGAGUCCCAUUGCAUGUAGCAGCGAAGCAGUAUGUCAAACUCGUGUACUCGUGUAUAAUGUGUGGAAUUUCAAGUCUCUACGUACCGGCGAAUGAAUGAAUGAAUGUCAUGGCACGCAAAGGAAUGCGAAUGCAGACACACACACGCAUUAAAGCUUUCUAUUGGAUUCGAUGUGCGGAUACUGUUUGGUGUUGAGCUGUGCGUCGCGCUAUUAUUCCUGUCAGCUUGGUAAGAAUGUUUGUUGUCGUG